CCUACGGGUGGCUGCAGUGGGGAAUAUUGGGCAAUGGAGGCAACUCUGACCCAGCAACGCCGCGUGAGCGAUGAAGGUCUUCGGGUUUUAAGUCUCUAUAAGCAGGGCGGAAAAACUGGCCUUACGGUCAGCAGACAGUGCCUGACUAAGAAGCACCGGCUAACUUCGUGCGAGCAGCGGCGGUAAGACGGGGGGGGCAAGCGUUUUCCGGAUUUACUGGGUGGAAAGGGAGCGUGGACGGUUGGUCAAGUCUGGAGUGAAAUGCCGAAGCUUAACUGCGGAAUGGCAUUGGAUACUGGCGAACUAGAGUGCGGGAGGGGUAAGGGGAAUUCCUGGUGUAGCGGUGAAAUGCGUAGAUAUUAGGAGGAACACCGGUGGCGAAGGCGGCUUACUGGACCGUAACUGACGUUGAGGAUCGAAAGCGUGGGGAGCAAACAGGAUUAGAUACCCCGGUAGUC
rnacentral:rRNA from 1 species